rnacentral:rRNA from 1 species
GCAUAUCAAUAAGCGGAGGAAAAGAAACCAACAGGGAUUGCCUCAGUAACGGCGAGUGAAGCGGCAACAGCUCAAAUUUGAAAUCUGGCCCUAGGCCCGAGUUGUAAUUUGCAGAGGAUGCUUUUGGUGCGGUGCCUUCCAAGUUCCCUAGAACGGGACGCCAGAGAGGGUGAGAGCCCCGUACAGUUGGACACCAAGCCUUUGUAAAGCUCCUUCGACGAGUCGAGUAGUUUGGGAAUGCUGCUCAAAAUGGGAGGUAUAUUUCUUCUAAAGCUAAAUACCGGCCAGAGACCGAUAGCGCACAAGUAGAGUGAUCGAAAGAUGAAAAGCACUUUGAAAAGAGGGUUAAACAGCACGUGAAAUUGUUAAAAGGGAAGCGCUUGUGACCAGACUUGCGUCCGGUGAAUCACCCAGCUCUCGCGGCUGGGGCACUUCGCCGGCUCAGGCCAGCAUCAGCUCGCUGUCGGGGACAAAAGCUUCAGGAACGUAGCUCUCUUCGGGGAGUGUUAUAGCCUGUUGCACAAUACCCUUCGGCGGGCUGAGGUACGCGCUCCGCAAGGAUGCUGGCAUAAUGGUCAUCAGCGACCCGUCUUGAAACACGGACCAAGGAGUCAACCUUAUGUGCGAGUGUUCGGGUGUCAAACCCCUACGCGUAAUGAAAGUGAACGCAGGUGAGAGCUUCGGCGCAUCAUCGACCGAUCCUGAUGUUCUCGGAUGGAUUUGAGUAAGAGCAUAUAGGGUUGGACCCGAAAGAAGGUGAACUAUGCGUGUAUAGGGUGAAGCCAGAGGAAACUCUGGUGGAGGCUCGCAGCGGUUCUGACGUGCAAAUCGAUCGUCAAAUAUGCGCAUGGGGGCGAAAGAAUAAUCGAACCUUCUAGUAGCUGGUUUCCGCCGAAGUUUCCC